CCUACGGGUGGCAGCAGUGGGGAAUCUUGGGCAAUGGGCGCAAGCCUGACCCAGCAACGCCGCGUGAAGGAAGAAGGCUUUCGGGUUGUAAACUUCUUUUAUUAGGGACGAAACAAAUGACGGUACCCAAUGAAUAAGCCACGGCUAACUACGUGCCAGCAGCCGCGGUAAUACGUAGGUGGCACGCGUUAUCCGGAUUUACUGGGUGUAAAGGGCGUGUAGGCGGGGGAGAAAGUCAGAUGUGAAAGUCCAGGGCUCAACCCGUGAACUGCGUUUGAAACUGUUCUUCUUGAGUGAUGGAGAGGAAAGCGGAAUUCCGUGUGUAGCGGUGAAAUGCGUAGAUAUACGGAGGAACACCAGUGGCGAAGGCGGCUUGCUGGACAGUAACUGACGCUGAGGCGCGAAAGCGUGGGGAGCAAACAGGAUUAGAUACCCUAGUAGUC
rnacentral:rRNA from 1 species